rnacentral:rRNA from 1 species
AUUGAACGCUGGCGGCAUGCUUUACACAUGCAAGUCGAACGGCAGCGCGGGCUUCGGCCUGGCGGCGAGUGGCGAACGGGUGAGUAAUACAUCGGAACGUGCCCAGUAGUGGGGGAUAGCUCGGCGAAAGCCGGAUUAAUACCGCAUACGACCUGAGGGUGAAAGCGGGGGAUCUUCGGACCUCGCGCUAUUGGAGCGGCCGAUGGCAGAUUAGCUAGUUGGUGGGGUAAAGGCCUACCAAGGCGACGAUCUGUAGCUGGUCUGAGAGGACGACCAGCCACACUGGGACUGAGACACGGCCCAGACUCCUACGGGAGGCAGCAGUGGGGAAUUUUGGACAAUGGGCGAAAGCCUGAUCCAGCAAUGCCGCGUGUGUGGUGAAGGCCUUCGGGUUGUAAAGCACUUUUGGCGGGAACGAAAAGGACUGUGCCAAUACCACGGUUCGAUGACGGUACCCGCAGAAUAAGCACCGGCUAACUACGUG